rnacentral:lncRNA from 1 species
UACUCUCAUAGACAUUGCAAAGAGUCUUCCAUGCAUCUGCUGCUCCUUUGCAAGAAAUGACAUGAGCAAAGUUGGUUUCAUCUAAGUUGGUGGCAAUUAUGCCAAAAGCCUUCUUCUCUCGUCUUUUGAAUUCCUUUUGCUCCUUCAUGCUUGCCUCUAAUCCAGGUGCCUCUUCCUCCUCACAUACUAUCUCCCAAAGAUCCAAUGAUGCCAAAAGUAGCUCCAUUUUGGCCUUCCAGUGGUGAAAGUUGUCACCUCUAAACUUUUCUACCAUUCUUAAGCUAUCACUCUCAAAAGAUGCCAUCUCAAGCUACAAGUAGGUCCAAAAAUCUCUUGAUUUGGAGUUGUAAUGCAAAAGAUAUGACUACUCAAAGAUUGCUGAACUACAAACUCAGAAUUCGCUGUUUUGCAACUUUUUGCAUACUUUGAGUCCAAAUCACGUCUAAAUGGUGGAAAAUGCUAUGUCAUGUA